rnacentral:misc_RNA from 1 species
GGAAGUAAAAUCGCAACAAGGUUUCCGUAGGUGAACCUGCGGAAGGAUCAUUCAUAAUAAAGUGUUUUAUGGCACUUUUUAAAAAUCCAUAUCCACCUUGUGUGCAAUGUUAGAUCUCGUCAAUCUUGGCGAGGUUUUUAUACAUCAACUCAUUCUUUAACUAAUUUGUCUGAAAAAUAUUAUGAAUACUUAAUUCAAAAUACAACUUUCAACAACGGAUCUCUUGGCUCUC